AAAUAAUCAAGAUGAAGGCGUUAGCUGUGAUAGUUCUUCUGAGCAUACUUUCUACUGCCCAGGCUUAUUAUUGCCAGUAUUAUGACAGUUUUGAUACAUUGAAGCAUAAAUAUUGUUCGUAUGGAUGCUGUGGUGGAUUUCACCCAUCAUCACUCACAGCUUGUUGCACAACUUACAUUACGACGACAGUUAGUAUGGGUACUGUAGCUGGAGCCGUUGUUGGAAGUAUUGUUUGUAUAGCUGUGUUUAUAGCUAUUAUAAUCAUUGUAUGUAGAAGACGCAGAGCCACCGUAAUUUACUCAAGUGGCGGCUGUGCUCCAACAACUACUUGUACUUCUGGAGUUACCACAUACCAAACUCACCCUCCUCCAUAUACCAGAUAUUAAUACCACUAACUUCAAGGGGUCUUUCUUUAUUUAAAUAUUUCUUUAAACACUCAAAUUUUACAGUUUUCUUGCAUCCUUAAAAUCUAUUGCAAUUUAACUCCUAUAUAAAAUAUAUUGUAAUUCAGCUUACAUGUAAAGUAUAUUGUAAUUGAACUCGUAUGUGUAAUUUAUUUCAUAUGUAAAAUAUAUUGUACAUUAGUUCAUAUGUAAAAUCUGUUGUAAUUUAAUACAUAUGUAAAAUUUAUUGUAAAUUAGUUCAUAUAUAAAACCUAUUGUUAUUGAGCUUGUAUGUACAAUCUGUU